rnacentral:lncRNA from 1 species
GCAGAAGAGGAAAUCAGAAAGUUGAAGCAUGAGGGCGAUUGAAGUGAUAGAAGUUCUCUGACACUGGCUUAAGGGCCGAGGAGGCCUUGUGACAAGGAAUGUAGGUGGCCUCUAGGUGCUGAGAAUGAUCCCUCAUUGACAGCCAUCAAGAAAACGGGGACCUCGCUCCUACAACUAUAAGGAAAUGAAUUCUGCCAACAACCAGUGAGCUGGAGAGGACCCCACGUCCCAGAGGAGACCUCAGCCCUGGCUGGCACCUUGAUUUCAGCCCUCUGAGGCCCCAAGAAGAGAAUCCAGCCACACUAUGCCUGGAUUUUUGACCUACAGAAACUUUUGAACAGGGGACCCUGCUGUCUCCCCUGUGACAUCGGCCCAGAACAAGUCCAGCUGCUGAUUGCCUGGCGGGACCCAACAGUGCGAGUGUCACAGAAAGCAUUGAGGACUAGGCCUACAGCUCUCCCCUGUGAUGAGGCGCUGAGGGUUGGCAGCCCUUUGGCCCUUGAGGAAGAUGAGAAAGUGCGUGACUCAGAAUGUCAGAACAGGCAGUGCCCUUUGAAUCACAACAUCGACUUUGCCUUCUUACAAACAGGGCCGCUGAGCACAAGAGCAAGCAAGUGCCUUCCUCACUGUCAUAGAGCGUCUCGUGAGUGGCAGAGUCAAGACAACAACCCAGGUCCCUGGACUCCCAGGUUGGUGCUGUGCUCUUUCCACUCUCUCCUGCUGCCCUCUCAGACUCAGCAACCAAAUGUGUGUCUGGAAGUGCACUGCUUCGUAUGUCAGCCAGACUGACCUUUACGUUCCCAGAAUCAUCAACCCUUUGUGGAAACCAUGGAAAGACGGUGCUGGAAAAAUAAUGACAAGCAUACCACGCUGUGGAGACAACCAGAAGCCCUGCUCAGACUGUGGAGUCCUCCUCACCUUC